GCUGACUCUCUUUUCGGACUCAGCCCGCCUGCACCCAGGUGAAAUAAACAGCCUCGUUGCUCACACAAAGCCUGUUUGGUGGUCUCUUCACACGGACGCGCAUGAAAUUUGGUGCCGUGACUCGGAUCGGGGGACCUCCCUUGGGAGAUCAAUCCCCUGUCCUCCUGCUCUUUGCUCCGUGAGAAAGAUCCACCUACGACCUCAGGUCCUCAGACCAACCAGCCCAAGAAACAUCUCACCAAUUUCAAAUCCGGUAAGCGGCCUCUUUUUACUCUGUUCUCCAACCUCCCUCACUAUCCCUCAACCUCUUUCUCCUUUCAAUCUUGGCGCCACACUUCAAUCUCUCCCUUCUCUUAAUUUCAAUUCCUUUCAUUCUCUGGUAGAGACAAAAGAGACAUGUUUUAUCCGUGAACCCAAAACUCCGGCGCCGGUCACGGACUGGGAAGGCAGUCUUCCCUUGGUGUUUAAUCAUUGCAGGGACGCCUCUCUGAUUUCACGUUUCAGACCACGCAGGGAUGCCUGCCUUGGUCCUUCACCCUUAGCGGCAAGUCCCGCUUUCCUGGGGCAGGGGCAAGUACCCCUCAACCCCUUCUCCUUCACCCUUAGCGGCAAGUCCCGCUUUUCUGGGGCAGGGGCAAGUACCCCUCAACCCCUUCUCCUUCACCCUUAGCAGCAAGUCCCGCUUUCCUAGGGGGCAAGAACCCCCCAAUCGCUUAUUUUCACGCCCCAACCUCUUAUCUCUGUGCCCCAAUCCCUUAUUUCCACGCCCCAAUCUCUUAUCUCUGCGCCCCAAUCCCUUAUUUCCGCGCCCCAACCCUUUCUCUGCUUUUCUGGAGGGGAAGAAACCCCCACCCCUUCUCCGUGUCUCUACUCUUUUCUCUGGGCUUGCCUCCUUCACUAUGGGCAAGCUUCCACCUUCCAUUCCUUUCUUCUCCCUUAGCAUGUAUUCUUAAGAACUUAAAAUCUCUUCAAUUCUCACCUGACCUAAAAUCUAAGCGUCUUAUUUUCUUCUGCAAUGCCACUUGACCCCAAUACAAACUCAACAGUAGUUCCAAAUAGCCAGAAAAUGGCACUUUCAAUUUUUCCACCCUACAAGAUCUAAAUAAUUCUUGGCGUAAAAUGGGCAAAUGGUGUGAGGUGCCUGACGUCCAGGCAUUCUUUUACACAUCAGUCCCUUCCUAGUCUCUGUGCCCAGUGCAACUCGUCCCAAAUCUUCCUUCUUUCCCUCCCGCCUGUCCCCUCAGUACCAACCCCAAGCGUCACUGAGUCUUUCUAAUCUUCCUUUUCUACAGACCCAUCUGACCUCUCCCUUCCUCCCCAGGCUGCUCCUUGCCAGGCCGAGCUAGGUCCCAAUUCUUCCUCAGCCUCUGCUCCUCCACCCUAUAAUCUUUUUAUCACCUCCCCUCCUCACACCUGCUCCGGCUUACAGUUUCAUUCCGUGACUAGCCCUCCCCGACCUGCCCAGCAAUUUAUUCUUAAAAAGGUGGCUGGAGCUAAACGCAUAGUCAAGGUUAAUGCUCCUUUUUCUUUAUCCCAAAUCAGAUAGUGUUUAGGCUCUUUUUCAUCAAAUAUAAAAAUCUAGCCCAGUUCAUGGCUCGUUUGGCAGCAACCCUAAGACACUUUACAGCCCUAGCCCCUAAAAGGUCAAAAGGCCAUCUUAUUCUCAAUAUACAUUUUAUUACCCAAUCUGCUCCCGACAUUAAAUAAAACUCCAAAAACUGGAAUCUGGCCCUCAAACCCCACAACAGGACUUAAUUAACCUCACCUUCAAGGUGUGAAAUAACAGAAAAAAGUUGCAAUUCCUUGCCUCCACUGUGAGACAAACCCCAGCCACAUCUCCAGCACACAAGAACUUCCAAACGCCUGAACUGUAGCAGCCAGACGUUUCUCCAGAACCUCCUCCCCCAGGAACUUGCUACACAUGCCGGAAAUCUGGCCACUGGGCCAAGGAACGCCCGCAGCCCGGGAUUCCUCCUAAGCCGCGUCCCAUCUGUGUGGGACCCCACUGAAAAUCGGACUGUUCAACUCACCUGGCAGCCACUCCCAGAGCUCCUGGAACUCUGGCCCAAGGUUCUCUGACUGACUCCUUCUUGGCUUACUGGCUGAAGACUGACGCUGCCUGAUCGCCUCAGAAGCCCCGCAGACCAUCAUGGACGCCGAGCUUUAGGCCCGCCUGCACCCAGGUGAAAUAAACAGCCUUGUUGCUCACACAAAGCCUGUUUGGUGGUCUCUUCACACAGACGCGCAUGAAAGGGAAGACAUACAAAAACAAGGGCCUCUGAGGUAGGUACUACUGAGACAGCCAGGUGGGAAGGACUCCUUGGCAAAACUCCAACCAGCCUGUACACUGGGAGGAAUGUGCACUGGGAUGGAGCCAUAGAAGUUUGUGUCGUUUGCAGUGGGGAGGAGCCUGGUCCCUCCUCUUCCUGUGAGGAACCUGGAAUUCAAUCUGUGAGGGAACUUCUUGAAAGACCCAUCAAUUCUUCAAUAGAAAGCAUCAAAGGACAAUUUACACCCUAAGACUGAACCCCUGACCUCAAAAUCUUUCCCUUGCUAUGUUCACCAACCUCAACAGAAAUAUUAGGAUUCUUACCUGAUCCUAGCCAAGCCCCCUCCCUCAUCUCCCAUUAAAGGGUCCAUCUUCAACCAAACUUAAGUCUCAAUAAAUAUCUGGACAUUGUCCUUCCAACUCUGGGAAGCUGCUAAGACUCUGUCCUUACUGCAGAAGAAAAAACAGCCUUGUACCCUGGUCUUCUCAACAGGUUGUUCUGGAGAUGUUCUGGGGAGACUGCAUUAAACACAGCUUCGCACCAUUGAAUAAACUCAGCAACAAGCCAAUGCAUAAAAGUAAUCUAUGCUUCAGGUCACAGAAGCUUCAAGGGGAAAAAAACAGAAUACUCUAGGGCCAUUGUUCACAAACUCAUCUGAAAACAUCCUGGAAAAAUUUUCCCAAACACAUGGAAAGAAAGAGAGGAAAAAAGAAGAUAUCUGAAUAAUGUGGACUAGAAUAAAGAGCUGCCAGGAGCUGUUUAUUUAAAAACAGUACUUUCUUCUCUGGCUGAGUCCCUGGUAUUCUCUGCUGCAAUCUGUAGCUGUAGAAUUUUGAAGAAUGCAAUUAAAUUCAAAUGGUUUGAUGAGUAAU
rnacentral:lncRNA from 1 species